UACCGGCACCCCGAGUGGUCGGGACGAUUAUUGGGCCUAAAGCAUCCGUAGCCGGUUUUACAAGUCCCCCGUUAAAUCCAGCUGCUUAACAGAUGGGCUGCGGAGGAUACUAUAAGACUAGGAGGCAGGUGAGGCAAGCGGUACUCAGUGGGUAGGGGUAAAAUCCGUUGAUCCAUUGAAGACCACCAGUGGCGAAGGCGGCUUGCCAGAAUGCGCUCGACGGUGAGGGAUGAAAGCUGGGGGAGCAAACCGG
rnacentral:rRNA from 1 species